rnacentral:rRNA from 1 species
GACGUAGGGCGCGAGCGUUGUCCGGAUUUAUUGGGCGUAAAGAGCUCGUAGGCGGCUCGUCGCGUCGACUGUGAAAUCCCGUGGCUUAACUGCGGGUCUGCAGUCGAUACGGGCAGGCUAGAGUUCGGUAGGGGAGACUGGAAUUCCUGGUGUAGCGGUGAAAUGCGCAGAUAUCAGGAGGAACACCGGUGGCGAAGGCGGGUCUCUGGGCCGAUACUGACGCUGAGGAGCGAAAGCGUGGGGAGCGAACAGG